AGGCUUCCAUCGGGCCACUCUGCCAUAAAGCCCCGGUGGAGGGCUGCAGUGAUGGUUGAUUUUCUAAAACUUUCUCCCAUCUCCCGACUGCAUCUCUGGAGCUCAGCCACAGUGAUCUUUGGGUUCUUCUUUACUUCUCUCACCAAGGCUCUUCUCCCCCGAUUGCAGAGUUUGGCAUGACGCCCAGCUCUAGGAAGGGUUCUGGUCAUCCCAAACGUCUUCCAUUUAAGGAUUAUGGACGCCACUGUGCUUUUAGGAACCUUAAGUGCAGCUGAAUAUUUUUUGUAACCUUGGCCAGAUUUGUGCCUUGCCACAAUUCUGACUCUGAGCUCUUCAGGCAGUUCCUUUGACCUCAUGAUUACCAUUUGCUCUGACAUGCACUGUGAGCUGUAAGGUCUUAUAUAGACAGGUGUGGCUUUCCUAAUCAAGUCCAAUCAGUAUAAUCAAACACAGCUGGACUCCACUGAAGGUGUAGAACCAUCUUAAGGAUGAUCAGAAGAAAUGGACAGCACCCGAGUUAAAUAUAUGAGUGUCACAGCAAAGGGUCUGAAUAUUUAUGGCUGUGUGAUAUUUCAGUUUUCUUUUUUAAUAAAUCUGCAAACAUUUCAACAAUUCUGUUUUUUUCUGUCAAUAGAGGGGUGCUGUGUGUACAUUAACUCGUUCCCUGCCAAUGCGGUCCAAAGAUGUAAUUAAGAAUCCAUCUAUUCCCUGCCAAUGCCGUCUAAAGACGUCAAUGGUGAUCGUCAAGCCUCUGGAUAACUGUAAUGAGGAAUGGCACCCAGUAGAGGGGAACAAUGUCUUGAGGUGAACGUCCCUUCCUCAGAUUGAAGACGAAGAAGAAGGAGGAGGAGGGGGCGGGCUGGCGGGGUGCAAGAGACAAUGAGAAGAGACAAACAUAAUGGCGGAAAAGAGAGAACACAAAAUGGAAAAAAAAAAAAAAAAGAAAUCUAAAAAAAAAAAAAGCUUUCGGUAUUAGAAAUGUAUUGCGCCAAGGCAAGAAAAAUAUUCCUGCGACCGACAGGAAUGACGCCUUAGAUCAUGCGGGGAAUAAAGGAUGACGCACCGAGAGAGAAUGCCGGCCCAUACAUAUGGCGAGAUGCUCUCGGUCGCUUGCUGGCUCAUCUUCUGCCGACCAGGAUUUGAAUAAAUGGAAUCCGAAAUUGCCAGAUGAGUGAACUCCCUUUUGGAUAGCCAGCAGAGGUUCCUCCGAUGAAGACCGACAAAGUCCAGCGAAGGAAUUCAAUACCCGCGAGUCGAAAGUCUUUUACGAUUGCGACAAAGAAAAGUGAUGCAUCCAGCAGAGGUUCGACUCCCAUUCCAGUACGCAGUGCAGACAAAAAAGGUUGCGCUCCGAGCAGAAGUAAUGACUGGUUUCAAGAAGAAUGACAACCACAAGAUCCCAUUCACUGCCAACCGAAGAAUAAAAUCCAUGUGGAUAAAAUUUUACUAGAUUUUAUGCACAAGGUAAUAAAAACCUGAAAGAGCAAAGGGUGGAGGAGGAGAAUUUGGAGGAAAAAAGUGCAAGUGUGGGAGCCCCAUUUGUUAAUGCAUUUUUGUCUAAUGUAAAUUCUGUACAGAGCUAGAUUUGUAAAUAAAUUAUUUUUCUGUCAAAAGUACAUUCUCUCAGUGUUAUUAUA